CCCCGACCAAGUGAAACAUAUUGACGUCCGCCUUUUCUUCCUACAUCUGCAUUGCAACUAAAGUUUCCAUACAAAACAAUAAUUUCCAUGAACUUACCCAAUUCCAUGUGUGAAGACAACAUAAUCUCGAUCUGUAGUUUUCUUUUGCGAAACUUUAUACAAGUAUAUUUUCUCCAUUCUUUCAUGGCACGUUGUAAAUUAGCUUUAAACAGUGGACGAUUUACUGUUGUAAAAGAGAUUAUGAUCGUUUGCAAAUUCUUGAACAAAUAAAAUAAAGUAAAUUUCAA